rnacentral:rRNA from 1 species
GAUGAACGCUGGCGGCGUGCCUAAUACAUGCAAGUCGAGCGAACAGACGAGGAGCUUGCUCCACUGACGUUAGCGGCGGACGGGUGAGUAACACGUGGAUAACCUACCUAUAAGACUGGGAUAACUUCGGGAAACCGGAGCUAAUACCGGAUAAUAUAUUGAACCGCAUGGUUCAAUAGUGAAAGACGGUUUUGCUGUCACUUAUAGAUGGAUCCGCGCCGCAUUAGCUAGUUGGUAAGGUAACGGCUUACCAAGGCAACGAUGCGUAGCCGACCUGAGAGGGUGAUCGGCCACACUGGAACUGAGACACGGUCCAGACUCCUACGGGAGGCAGCAGUAGGGAAUCUUCCGCAAGGGGCGAAAGCUUGACGGAGCAACGCCGCGUGAGUGAUGAAGGUCUUCGGAUCGGAAAACUCUGUUAUUAGGGAAGAACAAAUGUGUAAGUAACUAUGCACGUCUUGACGGUACCUAAUCAGAAAGCCGCGGCUAACUACG